rnacentral:rRNA from 1 species
ACCAGCUGGCUGGUACCAUGAGGUGACUUCUGCCCAGUGCUCUGAUUGUCAAUGCAAAGAGAUUUAGCCAAGCGCGGGUCAACGGCGGGAGUAACUAUGACUCUCUUAAGGUAGCCAAAUGCCUCGUCAACCAAUUAUUGACGCGCAUGAAUGGAUCAACGAGAUUCCUGCUGUCCCUAGGUGCUGUCUGGUGAACCAACAGCCAAGGGAACGGGCUUGGAUGUGUCAGCGGGGAAAGAAGACCCUGUUGAGUUUGACUCUAGUUUGAUGCUGUGCAAGGACAUGUGGGGUGUAGCAUAGGUGGGAGAUAAGUGCCAUCCAAUCACACACUCAGUGUGUGUCAAUGCUUACCAAAGCAUGUGAACCUUGGUGCAAGUCAGCAGUGAAAUACCACUACCUUCACCGUCCUUUUACUCAUCGAGUGGCUUGGGAACAGUGGCCAUUCUACAAUCAGUCACUGCACUCUUGUGGUGACUGUGGCCUUGACCUGCUUCGUGAGUCAAGCACUGUGCUCUGUGCAGUGUGACCCAGGGUUUUUCCCUGGUCCAUGGAUUGGUGCCUCGGGACAAUGAUCAGUUGGGGAGUUUGGCUGGGGCGGCACGCCUGUUACAGCACAACGCAGGCGUCCUGAAGCAUUGCUCAGAUGGAACAGAACUCUGCCAUAGAGGAUCAGGCCAAAGGUGCUGCUGAUGCUGUGACUUCCAGUACAAGUCCAAAACGUGCAAGUGUGGCCUAACGAUCCUUUGGUCACCCAUUCGGGUCCAGGAUAUUGGAGCCAGAGGUGUCAGAAAAAUUACCACAGGGAUAACUGGCUUGUGGCUGCCAAGCGUUCAAAGCGACGUUGCUUUUUGAUCCUUCGAUGUCGGCUCUUCCUAGCUUGCCACCCGCAGCAGAGUGCAAGAGUUGGAUUGUUCACCCACCAACAGGGAACGUGAGCUGG